UGAGCAAUCUGCCCUUGACUCUUGGAUAACUGCGGGAAACUGUAGCUAAUACCGGAUACGACCUGAAGAGGCAUCUUUUUGGGUGGAAAGAAUUUUUGGUCAAGGAUGAGCUCGCGGCCUAUCAGCUAGUUGGUGAGGUAACGGCUCACCAAGGCGACGACGGGUAGCCGGCCUGAGAGGGUGACCGGCCACACUGGGACUGAGACACGGCCCAGACUCCGUACGGGNGCAGCAG
rnacentral:rRNA from 1 species